rnacentral:rRNA from 1 species
CCUACGUGAGGCAGCAGUGAGGAAUAUUGGUCAAUGGGCGCGAGCCUGAACCAGCCAAGUAGCGUGAAGGAUGACUGCCCUACGGGUUGUAAACUUCUUUUAUAAAGGAAUAAAGUGAGGCACGUGUGCCUUUUUGUAUGUACUUUAUGAAUAAGGAUCGGCUAAGUCCGUGCCAGCAGCCGCGGUAAUACGGAGGAUCCGAGCGUUAUCCGGCUUUAUUGGGUUUAAAGGGAGCGCAGAUGGGUUGUUAAGUCAGUUGUGAAAGUUUGCGGCUCAACCGUAAAAUUGCAAUUGAUACUGGCAGUCUUGAGUACAGUUGAGGUAGGCGGAAUUCGUGGUGUAGCGGUGAAAUGCUUAGAUAUCACGAAGAACUCCGAUUGCGAAGGCAGCUUACUAAACUGCCACUGACAUUGAUGCUCGAAAGUGUGGGUAUCAAACAGGAUUAGAUACCCCGGUAGUC